CAGAUGAUUCUGAUGUACGUCAGAGAAGAGCAGACAAGGAAAAGGCAGAUUUGUUAGCAGAAAAAGAACGGCUUGUUAGAGAAGUAGAUAUGCUCACUCAAAGAGCCAAUUUAUUGCAAAGACAAGUGGAUAAGUUGCAGGGAGGAGUGAAACCUUCCACUAGUUUCUGGAGUGGAGAAGAGCUCAGUCGAAACCUCCAACUGCCAACAUCAAACCCAUGGCUGGUCCUUCAUCUUCAGUGACUAAACAACAACCGACACAACAUUCUGUGACAGUGACUCCAUGGAGAGGAGGUGGUAGUGAGACUCCGUUUGCCAGUAUCCGGCCAAUGUCCUUGCAGUCCCGCACUGUGGCUGU